rnacentral:lncRNA from 1 species
GGCAGGAGGUUGAGGCAAGAGAAUCGCUUGAACCCGGGAGGCAGAGCUUGCAGUAAGCUGAGAUGGUGCCACUUGAACCCGAGAGGUGGAGGCUGCAGUGAGCCGAGGCUGUGCCACUGCACUGCAGCCUGGGCAACAGAGCAAGACUCUCUCUCAACAGCAACAACAGAGAGAGAGAGAGAGAGAGAGAUAAAGAGAAAGAAGAAGGAAGGAAGGAGGGAGGGAAGGAAGGAGGGAGGGAGGGAAGGAAGGAAGGAGGGAGGAAGGAAGGAAGGAGGGAGGGAAGGAAGGAAGAAGGAAGGAAGGAGGGAGGGAAGGAAGGAAGGAGGAAGGAAGGAAGGAAGGAGGGAAGAAGGAAAGAAGGAAGGAAGGAAGGAGGGAGGGAAGGAAGGAGGGAAGGAAGGAAGGAAGGAAGGAAGGAAGGAAGGAGGGAGGGAAGGAAGGAGGGAAGGAAGGAGUGAGGGAAGAAAGGAAGGAAGGAGGGAGGGAAGGAAGGAGGGAAGGAAGGAAGGAAGGAAGGGAGGAGGGAAGGAAGGAGGGAAGGAAGGAAAGAAGGAAGGAAGGAGGGAGGGAAGAAGGAGGAAGGAAGGAAGGAGGGAAGGAAGGAAGGAAGGAGGGAAGGAAGGAAAGAAGGAGGGAAGGAAGGAAAGAAGGAAGGAAGGAGGGAGGGAAAGAAGGAGGGAAGGAAGGAAGGAGGGAAGGAAGGAAGGAAGGAAGGAAGGAGGGAAGGAAGGAGGGAAGGAAGGAGGGAGGGAAGAAGGAGGGAAGGAAGGAGGGAAGGAAGGAAGGAGGGAGGGAAGGAAGGAGGGAAGGAAGGCAGGAGGAGGGAAGGAAGGAAGGAGGGAAGGAAGGAAAGAAGGAAGGAAGGAGGGAGGGAAGGAAGGAGGGAAGGAAGGAGUGAAGGAAGGAAGGAAGAAGGAAGGAAGGAGGGAGGGAAGGAAGGAAGGAAGGAAGGAGGGAGGGAAGGAAAGAAGGAAGGAAGGAGGGAAGGAAGGAAGGAAAGAAGGAAGGAAGGAGGGAGGGAAGGAAGGAAGGAAGGAAGGAGGGAGGGAAGGAAGGGAGGAGGAGGAGGAAUUUAUUAAAAAGUCUACACCUUAA